ACGUCAAAUCAUCAUGCCCUUUAUGUCCUGGGCUACACACGUACUACAAUGGGAGUAACAGAGGGAAGCAAUGCAGUGAUGCGGAGCAAAACCCUAAAAGCUUCCACAGUUCGGAUUGAAGGCUGAAAUUCGCCUUCAUGAAGCCGGAAUUGCUAGUAAUGGCAGGUCAGCAUACUGCCGUGAAUACGUUCCCGGGCCUU
rnacentral:rRNA from 1 species